GGGCUGUCCACACCUCAGGACUGUCUUCAGUGGUUUGCAUUGCUGGGAUUGCUGCUGAUUGAAGGAACUAAGCAUUGUUUUCAGAGUGGUGGGUCCCAUCGGGGCCCUCUGAUUUUCCUGGGCAGCUCCAUCUAGGAGUAGGGCCGAGAUCUGGACGAUAAAAUUCAGGAAUAUAAACAAGCUGGAAAAAUCUUUCCAGAAAAUCAAAUAAUAGAAUGGUUUAUCCAGCUGCUGCUGGGAGUUGACUACAUGCAUGAGAGGAGGAUACUUCAUCGAGACUUAAAGUCAAAGAAUGUAUUUCUGAAAAAUAAUCUCCUUAAAAUUGUUCUUCAGAACUGUACCUCUCCUCAUAACAGCUACUGGAUCAUCUAAUCAUCAUAUAGGGUGUACUUGGGGAAGGAAGGAAGGAAGGAAUAAAAGUGUGCAACUAGUUAGGAGAUUUUGGAGUUUCUCGACUUCUAAUGGGAUCCUGUGACCUGGCCACAACUUUAACUGGAACUCCCCAUUAUAUGAGUCCUGAGGCUCUGAAACACCAAGGCUAUGACACAAAGUCGGACAUCUGGUCACUGGCAUGCAUUUUGUAUGAGAUGUGCUGCAUGAAUCAUGCAUUCGCUGGCUCCAAUUUCUUAUCCAUUGUUUUAAAAAUUGUUGAAGGUGACACACCUUCUCUCCCUGAGAGAUAUCCAAAAGAACUAAAUGCCAUCAUGGAAAGCAUGUUGAACAAGAAUCCUUCAUUAAGACCAUCUGCUAUCGAAAUUUUAAAAAUCCCUUACCUUGAUGAGCAG
rnacentral:lncRNA from 1 species